GACGAACGCUGGCGGCGUGCUUAACACAUGCAAGUCGAACGGAAAGGCCCUGCUUUUGUGGGGUGCUCGAGUGGCGAACGGGUGAGUAACACGUGAGUAACCUGCCCUUGACUUUGGGAUAACUUCAGGAAACUGUGGCUAAUACCGGAUAGGAGCUCCUACUGCAUGGUGGGGGUUGGAAAGUUUCGGCGGUUGGGGAUGGACUCGCGGCUUAUCAGCUUGUUGGUGGGGUAGUGGCUUACCAAGGCUUUGACGGGUAGCCGGCCUGAGAGGGUGACCGGCCACAUUGGGACUGAGAUACGGCCCAGACUCCUACGGGAGGCAGCAGUGGGGAAUAUUGCACAAUGGGGGGAAGCCUGAUGCAGCAACGCCGCGUGCGGGAUGACGGCCUUCGGGUUGUAAACCGCUUUCGCCUGUGACGAAGCGUGAGUGACGGUAAUGGGUAAAGAAGCACCGGCUAACUACGUG
rnacentral:rRNA from 1 species